AGUGAACGCUGGCGGCAGGCCUAACACAUGCAAGUCGAACGGCAGCACAAGAGAGCUUGCUCUCUGGGUGGCGAGUGGCGGACGGGUGAGGAAUGCAUCGGAAUCUGCCCAUUUGUGGGGGAUAACCUCGGGAAACCGGGACUAAUACCGCAUACGACCUACGGGUGAAAGCAGGGGAUCUUCGGACCUUGCGCAGAUGGAUGAGCCGAUGCCGGAUUAGCUAGUUGGAGGGGUAAAGGCCCACCAAGGCGACGAUCCGUAGCUGGUCUGAGAGGAUGAUCAGCCACACUGGGACUGAGACACGGCCCAGACUCCUACGGGAGGCAGCAGUGGGGAAUAUUGGACAAUGGGCGCAAGCCUGAUCCAGCCAUGCCGCGUGUGUGAAGAAGGCCUUCGGGUUGUAAAGCACUUUUGUUGGGGAAGAAAAGCAGCCGGUUAAUACCCGGUUGUCAUGACGGUACCCAAAGAAUAAGCACCGGCUAACUUCGUG
rnacentral:rRNA from 1 species